CAGCCGCCGCGGGAAUACGGAGGGUGCAGGCGUUAAUCGGAAUUACUGGGCGUAAAGCGCACGCAGGCGGUUUGUUAAGUCAGAUGUGAAAUCCCCGAGCUUAACUUGGGAACUGCAUUUGAAACUGGCAAGCUAGAGUCUUGUAGAGGGGGGUAGAAUUCCAGGUGUAGCGGUGAAAUGCGUAGAGAUCUGGAGGAAUACCGGUGGCGAAGGCGGCCCCCUGGACAAAGACUGACGCUCAGGUGCGAAAGCGUGGGGAGCAAACAGGAUUAGAUACCCCUGUAGUCCCUGUCUCUUAUAC
rnacentral:rRNA from 1 species